rnacentral:rRNA from 1 species
UACGUAGGGGGCGAGCGUUGUCCGGAUUUAUUGGGCGUAAAGAGCUCGUAGGCGGUUUGUCGCGUCGGGAGUGAAAUCCACUGGCUUAACUGGUGGCUUGCUUUCGAUACGGGCAGACUGGAGGUAUGCAGGGGAGAACGGAAUUCCUGGUGUAGCGGUGAAAUGCGCAGAUAUCAGGAGGAACACCGGUGGCGAAGGCGGUUCUCUGGGCAUGUCCUGACGCUGAGGAGCGAAAGUGUGGGGAGCGAACAGG